GGGCGUCGGGUUCCACGUAGAAUCGAGCUCUAUACGCCGCUAAAUGAGCGUAGUAUGCUGGAGGCACUGCAUCACACCAUAAAUGUCAUUGUAUUUUGGCUAGGAAGUGGUUGGCUUUAACCAAGCAUUUAGUCCCCAGCGAGCCAAAGUCUGGCCUUCUUGGAAAUGUUAAGCUUUUGCAGGAAGAAGAAGAGGGAAACUCCAGAUUUGGAUCAAGCUCCUCUUGUUUCAGUUCUUCCAUGGGCAUUUUUCUUUUCUUCUGUUAACACAGAAAGACUCGUCACUCAGCACAACACUCAACGACUUGAAAGCCGACAAAAGAAAACUUGGAGAAAAUUUGUGCCGUGGCAAUAAGCAACUUCCAUGUUCUCAAGGUGUGGUGUUUAAAAGAAAAGCAGCAAACAUGCUAGCAAGCGCAAGAUAAAAGGAAAAACUAUCAGAGAAAGAGAGAAAAAGAAGUGGUUUUUGCAGGAAGAAGAGGACAAAGUUGUAAGAUGGGGAAAGAAUACAAACUCUUUUCAGCGAACAAAAAGGAGCUUUAACUCAUCCCAAAGCCCACCCACAGUGUCAAAAGCAGACAGGAACUGUAGCAGCUGGAAGAAGCAUCCGGUUUUAGUACACUCAUGGCAUCAUCAUAAGAGAGACAUGAAGAAGAAGAAGAAGAAGAACAUUCAAAGGGCAUGAAGAUGCAGGUUGUGGUGUUGGUGAAAGAAAAAUGUCAAAAGAGAAAAAUGAAAAGAGAGGACUGAGAAGGAGAUAAUUCGAUCUGUCGGUAUUCGAUUUUUACUUUUCCCACUUCAUAUUUAUUCGAUGGCUACGGAUCAGACCAAGAUUCAUUGACCAACACAAUACGACACCCAAACUGUGUGAGAACCACAACUCACUGCUCAAGUACCACAAUUCUGGAUUUUGGGAAGAUUCAUCUUUCAAUCCCCCCCUCCCCCCCCCCUCUUAUUUAACUUUUCACCUCAUUGGUUAUGUGACCCUGUCUCCAUUUAUUAAAAGAUUAUUGAAGAGAGAAACACAGCC